rnacentral:rRNA from 1 species
AGGACGAACGCUGGCGGCGUGCUUAACACAUGCAAGUCGAGCGGAAAGGCCUUUCGGGGUACUCGAGCGGCGAACGGGUGAGUAACACGUGAGUAAUCUGCCCAUCGCUUCAGGAUAGCCAUCGGAAACGGUGAUUAAUACUGGAUGUGACUAUUCCUUCGCAUGGUUGGGGUGUUGGUAAAGUUUUUUCGGCGGU